GAUGAACGCUAGCUACAGGCUUAACACAUGCAAGUCGAGGGGCAGCGGGAUUGAAGCUUGCUUCAAUUGCCGGCGACCGGCGCACGGGUGAGUAACGCGUAUCCAACCUUCCGUACACUCAGGGAUAGCCUUUCGAAAGAAAGAUUAAUACCUGAUGGUAUGAUGAGAUUGCAUGAUAACAUCAUUAAAGAUUCAUCGGUGUACGAUGGGGAUGCGUUCCAUUAGGUAGUAGGCGGGGUAACGGCCCACCUAGCCUACGAUGGAUAGGGGUUCUGAGAGGAAGGUCCCCCACAUUGGAACUGAGACACGGUCCAAACUCCUACGGGAGGCAGCAGUGAGGAAUAUUGGUCAAUGGACGAGAGUCUGAACCAGCCAAGUAGCGUGAAGGAUGAAGGUCCUACGGAUUGUAAACUUCUUUUAUAAGGGAAUAAAACCUCCCACGUGUGGGAGCUUGUAUGUACCUUAUGAAUAAGCAUCGGCUAACUCCGUGCCAGCAGCCGCCGUAAUAC
rnacentral:rRNA from 1 species